rnacentral:lncRNA from 1 species
ACCUAAAUAUCAUAUACACUAGUUGUAUUUUUAGUCUUUUCGAUGUCUGCCGGUAAUCACAUGUUGCAGGCUUAAUUAGACAUGUGAAUAUGGGAAAAUUGAUGAAGGGAAUAUACGAACGUGUCAGAACCGUUGCAAACUACGAGCAAUGCGGCCGCGCGGAUGCAUAUGACCUUUGCAACGACAAUCAAUGCGGCAGCGUGAAAGAUAUGGCCUUUUUAGGUAAUAAAAAACGGUACCAGGAUUUUCUUUUCUGGCCUGUCGAGAGCACCCGGUGAGACUAGGGAGCGCGCGGUAGCCGCCCCUUCGGGUAAAGGAGGCAGACGAUCAGCUUGGAUGUGGAGAGAAAUAUUGUUGGUGUGCUUUAUUGACUGUGGUACAUCAGUACGUGCAUCCAAGUAAAACCAAGUGCCUGCAUGUCUUGGUGGCAGCUAACCAAAAGUUAUGUUGGAACUUCUUUCGUUUUGAUUCAACAACUUUAUUAUAGAGAAAGGAUUUACGUUACUCCUCGGAUAGAUCAUGCGUACUGCCUUCUUCUCUCUUUCUUUGCUAAUUGCUGCACGAGAAUUUGCAAGUGUCAGGCGGUGGCGCUUGUCCCCGCUACGAGCAGCUGGAUUGGAUUGGGCCCAUGCAGGGCUAGUGUUUUUUUAUUUUUUUUCAGUAAUACAAAACAGUGCAUAUGUGAUGAGUCAUUAAUGACGGGCUGUCAUUGAUGACCCUUUAUCAGUGGUGGCGGGCAUGUCAACCCCGUCACUGAUGAUCCCUCAACAGUGGCGGGCGCGUGAGGACCGUCACUGAUGACCCCUCAUCAGUGGCGGUCGCGGUGUGCCCGCCAUUGAUGACCACAUGUGAAAAACUACAAAUCUCAUAAACACAUACAUC